GGAGCCAGCCACCAGGUCAGACAUGCAGAAUCUUUCCCGGACAUUCCAUGAUGACUGAAGUGAUGACAUUUGUAAUGAAAGGAUGGUAUCAGCCUGGAAUUCCUGCUGUCAGGAUAAAUAGAAAAUCCUUUGCUAUUUGAUUGUCAAGGAUGAAAUUAAUAGCUCCCCAUAAAUGUGGAAUAAAAUGAUCUGUUUAUUCUAGGGA